CCUACGGGGGGCAGCAGUGAGGAAUAUUGGUCAAUGGACGAGAGUCUGAACCAGCCAAGUAGCGUGAAGGAUGACUGCCCUAUGGGUUGUAAACUUCUUUUAUAUGGGAAUAAAAUGUUCCACGUGUGGGAUUUUGUAUGUACCAUAUGAAUAAGGAUCGGCUAACUCCGUGCCAGCAGCCGCGGUAAUACGGAGGAUCCGAGCGUUAUACGGAUUUAUUGGGUUUAAAGGGAGCGUAGGUGGAUUGUUAAGUCAGUUGUGAAAGUUUGCGGCUCAACCGUAAAAUUGCAGUUGAAACUGGCAGUCUUGAGUACAGUAGAGGUUGGCGGAAUUCGUGGUGUAGCGGUGAAAUGCUUAGAUAUCACGAAGAACUCCGAUUGCGAAGGCAGUUCACUGGACUGCAACUGACACUGAGGCUCGAAAGUGUGGGUAUCAAACAGGAUUAGAUACCCGGGUAGUC
rnacentral:rRNA from 1 species